UGGGGAAUCUUCCGCAAUGGACGAAAGUCUGACGGAGCAACGCCGCGUGAGUGAAGAAGGUUUUCGGAUCGUAAAAACUCUGUCUUUUGGGGCGAACGUGAGUAUGGUGAACAAUCAUAGUCAGUGACGGUACCAAAGGAGGAAGCCACGGCUAACUACGUGCCAGCAGCCGCGGUAAUCGUAGGUGGCAAGCGUUGUCCGGAAUUAUUGGGCGUAAAGAGCGCGUAGGCGGGAUAGUCAGUCUGUUGUAAAAGUGCGGGGCUCAACCCCGUGAUGGCAAUGGAAACAGCUAUUCUUGAGUGCAGGAGAGGAAAGGUGGAAUUCCCAGUGUAGCGGUGAAAUGCGUAGAUAUUGGGAGGAACACCAGUGGCGAAGGCGACUUUCUGGACUGUGUCUGACGCUGAGGCGCGAAAGCCAGGGGG
rnacentral:rRNA from 1 species